rnacentral:rRNA from 1 species
UACGGAGGGAGCUAGCGUUGUUCGGAUAUACUGGGCGUAAAGCGCACGUAGGCGGCGCCGUAAGUCAGUGGUGAAAGCCUGCAGCUUAACUGUAGAAUUGCCAUUGAUACUGCUAAUCUUGAGUACAUAUGAAGUGGGCGGAAUGUGUCAUGUAGCGGUGAAAUGCUUAGAUAUGACACAGAACACCGAUUGCGAAGGCAGCUCACUAAACUGUAACUGACGCUGAGGCACGAAAGCAUGGGGAGCAAACAGG